CCAGGCGUCAGCCUUCUGAGUCGAGAACCCGUGUCCGGCAGAGGAGUCCAAGGCUGGUGACUUACUCGGAGCCACUCUCUCUCUCUCGUCCCCACUCAUCGUGUUCCCGCCAGGACCCAGAACGCAACGAGCAACCUACAGGCCUGUUGGCCACACGACGGAUUCUUCAAGGAUGAAGAGUUGCUAUAGCAACCUUCCCUUCGCAUGACACAGGCUGUAUUUUCUCAUUUGGAAUAUCAAGUCUGGCCUAUAACCGAAUUUCAUCGGACCCACUCCGUAUAGUUUGUUUUUAAGCUCGUCCUAGGAAAACGUUGCUUGGGUCUGGGAAGGGAAGGAGGAAGUGAGGCCCAGUUGACCAUUAAUGGCAAUUAGUGAAAAUCUGGUGUCUUUUCCCCACAGAUGUUUAAUAAAGAGGCACAUUUAGAUUUUCUGAGAUUGGCCAUAACUGCAUAUCACACCAGGAUAAUCGGAUACGGAACCUGCCUUUGGGGAAACCUUUUUGGAGAUAUGGACCGAGAUGCGUGUACAAACGCAUCUACACGCUAACCAUUGGUAUUCUUUUAGAUGUUGGAGUAAUAAAGGACACAGUCCCACCCUCCUGCACACUCUUACAUAA